rnacentral:rRNA from 1 species
GUGGGGAAUAUUGGACAAUGGGCGAAAGCCUGAUCCAGCCAUGCCGCGUGAGUGAUGAAGGCCUUAGGGUUGUAAAGCUCUUUCAGUAGGGAAGAUAAUGACGGUACCUACAGAAGAAGCCCCGGCUAACUUCGUGCCAGCAGCCGCGGUAAUACGAAGGGGGCUAGCGUCGUUCGGAUUUACUGGGCGUAAAGCGCACGUAGGCGGAUUGGUCAGUUAGAGGUGAAAUCCUGGAGCUCAACUCCAGAACUGCCUUUAAUACUGCCAGUCUAGAGUCCAGAAGAGGUGAGUGGAACUCCUAGUGUAGAGGUGGAAUUCGUAGAUAUUAGGAAGAACACCAGUGGCGAAGGCGGCUCACUGGUCUGGUACUGACGCUGAGGUGCGAAAGCGUGGGGAGCAAACAGGAUUAGAAACCCUAGUAGUCC